AUAUUGGACAAUGGGCGAAAGCCUGAUCCAGCCAUGCCGCGUGUGUGAAGAAGUCUUCGGAUUGUAAAGCACUUUAAGUUGGGAGGAAGGGCAGUAAGUUAAUACCUUGCUGUUUUGACGUUACCAACAGAAUAAGCACCGGCUAACUUCGUGCCAGCAGCCGCGGUAAUACGAAGGGUGCAAGCGUUAAUCGGAAUUACUGGGCGUAAAGCGCGCGUAGGUGGUUUGGUAAGAUGGAUGUGAAAUCCCCGGGCUCAACCUGGGAACUGCAUCCAUAACUGCCUGACUAGAGUACGGUAGAGGGUGGUGGAAUUUCCUGUGUAGCGGUGAAAUGCGUAGAUAUANGAAGGAACACCAGUGGCGAAGGCGACCACCUGGACUGAUACUGACACUGAAGUGCGAAAGCGUGGGGAGCAAACAGGAUUAGAUACCCUGGUAGUCCACGCCGUAAACGAUGUCGACUAGCCGUUGGGAUCCUUGAGAUCUUAGUGGCGCAGCUAACGCGAUAAGUCNACCGCCUGGGGANUACGCCGCAAAGUUAAAACUCAAAUGAAUUGACGGGGGCCCNCACAAGCGGUGGAGCAUGUGGUUUAAUUNGAAGCAACGCGAAGAACCUUACCUGGCCUNGACAUGUCCGGAAUCCUGCAGAGAUGCGGGAGUGCCUUCGGGAAUCGGAACACAGGNGNUGCAUGGCUGUNGUCAGNUCGUGUCGUGAGAUGUUGGGUUAAGUCCCGUAACGAGCGCAACCCUUGUCCUUAGUUACCAGCACAUUAUGGUGGGCACUCUAAGGAGACUGCCGGUGACAAACCGGAGGAAGGUGGGGAUGACGUCAAGUCAUCAUGGCCCUUACGGCCAGGGNUACACACGUGNUACAAUGGUCGGUACAGAGGGUUGCCAAGCCGCGAGGUGGAGCUAAUCCCAUAAACACGAUCGUAGUCCGGAUCGCAGUCUGCAACUCGACUGCGUGAAGUCGGAAUCGCUAGUAAUCGUGAAUCAG
rnacentral:rRNA from 1 species